rnacentral:lncRNA from 1 species
CCCAUAAGAUCCGUUACUUGCUGAACUGAACAAGCAAGUCGUAAGCCUCCAUCUUAGCCUUGAAAAUUCCUCAGACAGAUGCAAACAUCACAUCCCAUGUGGUCACCGUGGCCGUGGACGCAUGUCAAGCAGCCACGUUUUGCGCGAGUCCACACUUACCUUACACAACCUACAGCCUUGGCUGUGUGGCUCACCCCAUUUCUUCCCAGCUCUGGUCCCCUAUACGGUGUGAGGAGGAGCAGAGGGAUUGUGUAGUUCUUGGAUCGCCCAGACUACAGAAUGAACAUUCCAUUCUGUGAUAUGGGAAUACCUGGUAACAACUCUAGUGCUCCUGGUCCUCGAAAGCUCACUGAAGCCUGAGAAAGAAAUGUUCUCAUUUUGAUGUCCAGUUACACUAAAAUACUGCUAAGUAGAGAUAGACACCUUCUUCAAACUUCGCCUGCUGAGCACACCAGAAGCAUCUUGCUCUCUGCAAAAGCAAGGACAGAAUAUGCAGAUGCUGUCCCAGGAGGCUGGGGGCCUGGGUCCUCUCCAGGAGAAAAUGAGCUGAAGGUCACUUCAUGUGAUAAAGCAACAGUUCUGAGUUCCCUUUUCUCUGUCCCUUACUACAAAAGACCCUUGCCCAACUGUGCAAGGUAAGGUGGUGAUUCGAGGCACAUGGGCCCUUCCCUUAACUUGGAGAUAGCUUUGAAUAAAUCCUUUUUCUCCUACUUACCAAC